AUGUCAAAAGCCACAUCAGUUUCUGUUCAUUCUAGCGUUUCUCAAAAAUCCGCUCAGGUGUUAGCUCCCUUCGCAGAAAGUUUGAGCAUGGUGCUCCACCACCAUUGUCGCCUGUCUUUGAAAUGAAGAAGCAUGAGCACCACAAGCAUCUUGAUCAACACCAUCACCACAAACACCAAGACGUCGUCGUUGAGCAAACGCAAUUCCAGGUCGGCGAUAACUUCAUCUCUUCUUCUUCUUCUAAAGCAAUAGAGAAUCAUUAUGACGUUCCUUUCGAUUCUUAUGAGAUAGUUGAUAAAUCUGAAAACACUAAAAAAUCCUCAUCCUCUUACCACGCCUCCUCCUCCUACCACAAGCAAGCACCACCGCUGCCACUAGUCGAUUACCAUGUAUAUGACACGCCAACUGUUGAACAUUUCUCCCAUUCGCCAGCUUUCUAUACUGACGAUCAGCGCCACCAUUAUGUUCCCCAAAUCAAGGUGAUAACAGAGUAUCGACACAUCAACCCUCGUCAUCAUUACGUGGAAAGACAAAUUAGAAAAGCUGAUGGAAGUGCGAUUGCACAAAGUCCGCAAGUUCAAACGAUUGACUAUUUUAAAGAAAUCAACAGGGCUCACCAUUUUGUCCCAUCUACGCCACCAUCGCUGUUUAACAACAAGCGAGAAAGUUUCCACCAUCACAGCUUUAUUCCAAACAGUUUGGAAGCUGAAAGAAAGAGUCGUAGUGUUGAAAGAGCGCACCAUUAUCUCCCAGAUUCACCAGCGAAUGUGAAAGAUCAGAGAAAAAUAAUCAGGGAACAUCAUUAUGUUCCUCUUGAGAAACGCUCUCAAUCGUUGGAUUUAAAAGUAGUUCAUCCUGAACAUCACUAUGUUCCACUUGUCAGAAAAACAACGGAGGAUCAUCAACAAAAAGUGAAUCACGAACAUCAUUUCAUACCAGCGGAGAAAAAAACCGAAGCAGUCAAAGAUGUUGUUCACGAGCAUCACUACAUUCCACUGACCGCUCAUAAAACUGAUGAACAUAAUGUGAAUAUCACUCGAGAGCAUCAUUACAUUCCGUUGAAAACGGAGCAAGUGCAGAGCAAAACAGAAAUUGAACGUCACAAUCAAUACGUUCCAAUGACUACUCACAAGGAAACAAAAUCGUUUGAUACUGGAAGAAGCCACUCUUAUAUCCCAUUAGGUGGAAAUGUGGAGCAGUCAAAAACCGAGAUUUUUCGUCAGCACAACUUUGUUCCUGUUGUUGAUAAAAAGGAAAAAAACGUCGAAGAAAUCAAUCAAAAGCAUAAUUAUGUGCCAGCUCAUUCGAAUGUGGCUGUUUCCGAUAAAGAGCCGAUAAGCCGUCAUCACAACUUUGUGCCGCUUGCAACCAAAACUGUAGAAGAGACGCGUCACUCUAACGACUUAAGUCAUCAUCACUAUAUGCCACUGCCAGCAAAAAGGGAAGAGGGAAAGACGGCAGCGGGUGAUAAGGUCGGCUACGAACAUCACUAUUACCCGUUGGCAUCGAAUACUGAACGAGUUUCGGUUCACAAAGGACAAGAGCACCACUACGUGCCUCUUAUUGCUAAACCAACGGAGAGUCACGCUUCCAAAAUUGUCAUUCAGCAUCAAUAUAUUCCGCUAGCUAUGAGACAUCAAAGUGUACCGAGACUUCCUUCGGAGCACAAUUAUAUUCCGAUUGCUAUUCAUGACGAUUCGCAUCAAAAAGUCGAUUUGACGAACCAUCAAUAUUUGCCACCUAUUGUUAACGCCGAACAGAAAGAAGCUGUUAAGUUGUAUGAGCAUCAAUAUGUUCCACUUCCGCCCAAAAAGGAUAGUUUCGCGAACUACUCAUCAAAAGCUCCACAACUUCCACGAGAACAUCAUUACUAUCCGGCACCUGUUCGAUCAGUAGAGCAUCAUCAAAAACAUGUUCAUGAGCAACAUAACUAUAUUCCUGCAGUCCAUCAUCAUGAAACAAAUCAUCAACUUGAUCGUCAACAUGGAUAUAUUCCAGUCGCUGCAAAACACGAAGCAAAGAAAAAUGUACUCUAUGAGCAUCAGUACAUUCCGCCAAUCACGAGAACGGAGCAAACGAAUGGUUAUGAUAGAAGACACAAUUAUGUUCCGGUUGGAAAAACUGCAAAAGCGACAACGACAGACAUCCACGUGCAUCAGGAUCAUCAAUAUGUACCGCAAGCCAGCCCAAGGAAAACUAUUUCGGAGAUUCCACACAAGACCAAGGAUAAUCAAGUUGUUCAUGAGCAUGGAUAUGUGCCACCUGUCAAAAAAUCGGAUUUAAAAACCUCUGUCGAUCAUUCCAAGCAUGAAUAUUUGCCAUCAGUGGUGCACACGGAGUCCAAGGAUGAUUUCAAACAUUCGAAACAUGGAUAUGUUCCAUCAUUGGAACACUCACAGAGAAUUGAACGAGGCGUCGUUUCCACCCACAACUACGUGCCUCCUGUCACUAAGAUCAUCGAAAAAAACGCCUCCGAUCCCACAAAGCAUGGAUAUCUCCCACAAUCGAAGCGUUCAAAGAGUAGUGAUCAAAUUGAUCAUUCAAAGCAUGGCUUCCUUCCAUCCAUCAAACAUCAGGAAGCUCAAGAUCAUGCAGAUCACUCAAGACAUGGGUAUGUUCCACCAACGAAAAAGGCCCACAACGAUUAUUGGGGAUUUGAGCGAGACCAUCAUUAUGUUCCGGACACACUGAAAAAGGAUAAGAUCAAACAGAUUCAUCGUGAGCACAAUUUUGUCCCAUCAGUUGUUCCAGCCAAGCCCGAUGAAAAAUUCGAAGGACAAGAUCACCACUACGUGCCGUCUGUUAGAAAAACAACCGGAAUCACUUCUGAGAUCGAACAUCGCCACAAUUUCGUUGAGAAGAUUCCUUCUAAACACGAAACUCCAAAACUACCAGAAACUCAUAACUACGUGCCAACUGUUCACAAAUCCCAAAAUUUGGACCGAAGCACAUUGGAGAAGCACAAUUACGUCCCCACUUACCAAAAGAAAUUUGAGCCUCGUCGAACUGAUAUACGUCAUCACAACUAUGUGCCAACAAUUGUCAAACCACAUGAACAUCGUGAUAACUUUGAUCACCAUCAUUACGUUCCACAAAUUGCAAAACCUUCAGAUGUGAAACUAAGUGACUAUGACAAGCACCAUUACGUUCCACCAGUUUUCGAAAAGAGUGUUGUCAAUCAAGUUGAGUACGAACACAAGUACACUCCAACUGUUGUCAAGAGUACUGAACCAAGAAUUUUGAAUCACACGCAACAUCAUUACACUCCAUCUCAUCAAAUUGUAUCCAAUACAUAUGACGAUAUCGACACUCAUCAUGGAUAUUUGCCUCAAAUUCCGAGGAAAGAAACCGCAGCUCGUGUUCCAUUGGGUCAUCAUUUUGUGCCACAAAUUCCACACAAAGAAGUGGCUCCUGACUACGAUCAUCAUCACCACUAUGUGCCAUCUGUUCAGCCCAAAGCGCCAACUCCAGCCGUAGAUUACCAACAUCACUAUUUGCCUUCAGUCAAGAAACCAACUAGCACUACCACUGAUAUGAUUCGACAACAAAGGAAAAAAAUUCUGAAGAGCACUGAUGAUGAUGAAGAUCAAGAAAAUCAGUAUGUGGCGAAACCACCAGUCUACACAAAUGCAUUCGUAAAACCGUACAAGACAAUUCCUGAUGAACCAACAAACUACAUGCUCAAAAAUGGAAAAUCUCGUAACAAUGGCAUUCCUGAGGAGCCAUCGCAACCAGUUCCCAAACCUCGCUCUUUCACCUCUCCUCAGCCUGAUUAU
rnacentral:misc_RNA from 1 species